rnacentral:rRNA from 1 species
GUACAGGAAGCAGCUUGCUGCUUCUGUCUGACGAGUGGCGGACGGGUGAGUAAUGUCUGGGAAACUGCCUGAUGGAGGGGGAUAACUACUGGAAACGGUAGCUAAUACCGCAUAACGUCGCAAGACCAAAGAGGGGGACCUUCGGGCCUCUUGCCAUCGGAUGUGCCCAGAUGGGAUUAGCUAGUAGGUGGGGUAACGGCUCACCUAGGCGACGAUCCCUAGCUGGUCUGAGAGGAUGACCAGCCACACUGGAACUGAGACACGGUCCAGACUCCUACGGGAGGCAGCAGUGGGGAAUAUUGCACAAUGGGCGCAAGCCUGAUGCAGCCAUGCCGCGUGUAUGAAGAAGGCCUUCGGGUUGUAAAGUACUUUCAGCGGGGAGGAAGGGAGUAAAGUUAAUACCUUUGCUCAUUGACGUUACCCGCAGAAGAAGCACCGGCUAACUCCGUGCCAGCAGCCGCGGUAAUACGGAGGGUGCAAGCGUUAAUCGGAAUUACUGGGCGUAAAGCGCACGCAGGCGGUUUGUUAAGUCAGAUGUGAAAUCCCCGGGCUCAACCUGGGAACUGCAUCUGAUACUGGCAAGCUUGAGUCUCGUAGAGGGGGGUAGAAUUCCAUGUG